rnacentral:rRNA from 1 species
UACGUAGGUGGCAAGCGUUAUCCGGAUUUACUGGGUGUAAAGGGUGUGUAGGCGGGUCUGCAAGUCAGAUGUGAAAUCUCCGGGCUUAACUCGGAAGUGUCAUCUGAAACUACGGAUCUUGAGUACUGGAGAGGAUAGUGGAAUUCCUAGUGUAGCGGUAAAAUGCGUAGAUAUUAGGAGGAACACCAGUGGCGAAGGCGGCUAUCUGGACAGUAACUGACGCUGAGGCGCGAAAGCGUGGGGAGGCAAACAGGAUUAGAUACCCU